rnacentral:lncRNA from 1 species
GUUCCUAGUUGAAAGCCAACAGGACCGUAUGUACUAAGGUAAAAAAAACGUAUUUUUUAAAUGUUUAUAAGAGUAAUUAUGAAAACGAAAUCAAGUUAGACAUUCUGAAUGAUUUAUUUGUAAAUAUUGACCGGCCAAUAUGUAUACGUAUUUACUAUUAAAAAAAUCAGCUUUCGUUUUUGUUAUGUCAGCUAGGUGGUCUAUUGUUAUUGUAUGUAUUUGUGAUAUAAUUGAUAAAAUACAUACUGCAUUCCACAUUUGUGUUUUUACAUUUGGUUAUGUGGGGUGUUUUAUAGCUUAUUUUAUGCUAUGGAUAUUUAAUUGACCAUUUUUGAUGGUGGAUGGUCAGUGUCAAAUAAAAAUUUAUGUUUGUGUUUUUAUUUUAAAUUUAUAAUGUCCUUGUUUUGAUCAGUGUUUAUUCAUCGACUUAAGCCGUGUUCACAUCGACCUGUUGUCUUCGUAUUAUUCACAUGUAAACUAAACACAAUUUCGUUCCCAUUGAUAAAACUCAAUGUUCAUAUCAAAUUUAAAUAAAUUGUUGUCAACAUUCAGUCGAUGGAUAUUGUAGGCCUUGUGUGGUCUACGUGUACACAAAACUGGCUAUAUAGAACAUGAAUUUACCGUGUCUAUUUAAAGAAGAAACGAUUUUUUAAUUUAUUUGAUAUUUAUCGCUUCUGUGUGUGUUGAAUUGUUUUUUUUUUUGUUGUUGUUGCACUUUAGUGUUUCUUUGUUUUCCUUUUCUAUUUUAUGUAUUUCCCGAAAUGUUAGUUUAUGACCCGGAGUUGGUUUCUCUCAAUCGGUUUGUGACUUUCGAAACACCGGUUUACUACUGUUGCCUUUAUUGAAUUGAAUUAUUUACAGUAUAAUUUGUCUUAACUUGAUAUUUUGCUUUUAUUAGAAAAUAAAACCAAAGAUAGCUAGCCUUAUUAACCCGUUAUCAAGACCCAAAGCAUAAUUGUUGCCAAACAUAAUUCAUUUGAAAAGGUCUUCCCUUAUAGACGUCAUUUAAAUGUUUGCCACUGAUCUUUACACAAUAAUUGAUUUACUUAUAUAUUUGUAAAUGCAUUAAUUAAAAGAGUGUGCGGUAAAUUGUUUUGUUUGGCUAGUAUCUCAUAUCCGGUAAAAUGUACUUAGAAUAAAAAAAGCAUUUAUUUGCAAUGUACGAACUAUUAUUUUAAAGCCAAAGUCGUAGUAUGUAUUUUUUUUCUGAAUCAAUUUUUUUUUCGCGCGAACCAUUUAUUCAGUGAAACACAACACUGAAUUACACGUUUGCGGACAAAAAGUUUCGUCUCUAUCAAUCAUUUUUUUUCAGUAUUUGGCAUCUUUAAGGUAUAGGGAAAAUCUAGAUCCUGGAUUUUUUUUCGAAUUGGAGAUCAGAAUAUUUUUUUCAGGCGAAGGAGUUGAAUGGUGGUUUCAUUAAUUCUAGAAAAAUUGUCCAGAAAUUUGCGUUCGACUUUAUGUACUGAUAUUUAAAUGACGUAUAGUUUACAAGUGUAAGCAAAUCUAACGUACAGGUAAUCAACACAGCUGUAUAGAUGUGAACAAGUUUAAUGUGAAACCAGUGUACAUUACAUUCAUUACAUUUAUCCAAUUGUAAAAAAGAAGAUGUUGUAUGAUUGCCAAUGAGACAACUAUCCACAAAAGACCAAAAUGACACAGACAUUAACAACUAUAGGUCACCGUACGGCAUUCCACAAUUAGCAAAGCCCAUACAGCAUAGUCAGCUAUAAAAGGCCCCGAUAAGACAAUGUAAAACAAUUCAAACGACAAAACUAACGGCCUUAUUUAUGUAAAAAAAUGAAAAACAAAUAUGUAACACAUAAACAAAAGACAACCACUGAAUUACAGGCUCCUGACUUGGGACAGGCACAUACAUAAAUAAUGUUGCGGGGUUAAACGUGUUAGUGGGAUCCCAACCCUCCCCUAACCUCGGACAGUGGUAUAACUGUUAACAUGUUUACUGUACAUGGCGUUCGGUGUGAACACGGCCUUAUUCGGGUCACAGUAUUUGUGAUUAAAACUAAAAUAAAAUUAUAAUCAGAAACAAAUAAUUACUGACGGAUCAACGUAGGAACGUAGAGUGCGUAAUAGAAUAAUUUUUUAUGACAUUUUCGUCACCACUACAAACAAUUAUGGCCCGGUCCCCCAUUUUUCUCAAGCCUUUAUCUUCCACCGACAGUGUAUAACAAUGCAUGUUUAUUAACAAUAACAUACAUAUACAAUAUAUGUAUGUUGUCGGAAAAUAUAUAAUUUAUUUGUAUGAGCUUUAGAAAAAGGACGAAAAGCGAGGCUCUGCCGAGCUUUUGUCCUGAAUCGUAGCGAGUACAAAUGUAUUUUAUAUUUGCCGGCAAUGUACAUAUAUUAUUUUAACCUUAAAUUACUCCCAACACUUGAAUCUGUAGUUAUUAAAAUCAAAAUCAUUGUCUUUAAUGUUUCGAAGAAAUCGACAUCGUUGAAACGCUGAUCGCGAAGAGAACCCCAAAAUGAACUGGUUUGAAAACAGAAAUGUUCAUAUUGCCACUUGCUCAGCAUGUAAUUGGGGUCACAUGAGACUUUAUUUGUACAAUUACUAAUAAAGCAAACAUUUAUUUGUAUACCUGUUAUUGUACAAUAGAUGGCUAAUUGCAGGAAAAACAGCGGUAGUGUUGCCAAGGAGAAAACUAUUUGUAAAGGUGUACGGCUCAAAUAUAUUCAUUGAGGACAUAUGAGUUGAGAAGUUAUUUUUGUUUUCCGCAAAUUUUGGAAACCUUUUCAGAACAGUUAUAUGAAACACGUUUUACGCAGACUAAAAUCAUUUGCUAUCGAUCCUGGCCGCUCGAAAUAUUAUUUAAAGAAUUAAUUUAUCAAAAGCCGAACUCCCUGUCGAAUUAAACUCAGAAUCUUGAAUAGCAAACAUGUUUUAAAGGGGAAAUAAGAUACCACUAAAUUGUAAACGCCUUUGAUGUUAACAAUUCUCUUCUUGACUCUAGAGCUUGGCCCGAGUAAAAGUUCACCAGGACUAAUCCAUCUUAAACCUUAGAUCGAAAAUAGGGAGAAAAAUGUUGAGGACAUCAAACAACAAUUCUUUUAUGUCUUGAUGGGGAAAGAUGGACCCACUUUAAAGAGAAAUAAUUAUUAUCGAAGGUUCCACGAAAAUGUUUAGUGGUAAAAAGUGGUAUAAAUCGUAUGAUCCUAAACCUUUGAACUCAUUGACGUGUAGCUUGAUAAGGAUCGAGAUUACUAUUACUAUAAACUUGUUUUGAGAUGAACUUGAAUAUUGAUAUAGCUAUUUUGAGUAUUUUAACAAAUAAGUCUAAAACAAAAACGUUUAAAGCCUGAUAACAAUGCAAAUAGGUCAGACAGAAUACAAAACUAUCAUUACUAAUUAGUAUCAGCAUAAUGUCUAACGAACAACUGAUGCAUGUUAUUUAGUACAUGUAGAUUUUAAUUACUUCUUUAUUUUCGAAUUCAAGGGCACAAAAUGUAACCGUCUCCUUCAUCUACAUAUUGACAAAUAUUUUCAACAAAACAGAGUAAUUAUGGAACUUCUAAAACUUUAAACAAGUUAUUUUGUAGACCGGGAAAGGCGUUCUAAUCAAUUAAUAGCUAUAUUUGCAUAAAUAUUAUUUUGCAGUUUUGUGAUAUGGCCUCAUAUUCCCAAAGUUGUGGUGUGUGUGACCUCCGACACAUCAACAAACCAUGAUCAAUAAUCUGGUGUACGGAAUGUGAUGAAGGGCUUUGUCAAGAUUGUCAGGAACACCAUAGUUUAUCCAAGGGAACCAGAAACCAUAACACCAUAACAAUAAAGGAAUAUAAAACAUUACCAAGUGAAGUACUUAAAAUCACUCAUUACUGUAGCACACACAAUGACAAAUUUAUAAUGUAUUGCAGGACACACGAACGUCCCUGCUGCAGAAAAUGUAUAGUUGAAACUCAUAAAGAAUGCCUGGAUAUCGAUAAUUUAGAAGACGUCAUUCAAAAUGUAAAAACCUCAAAUGCCUUCCACGAUAUUGAAGAAACAUUGGUUGAAGUAGCAGAAAAUUUAAAGAAAAUCAGUCAACAUCAGCAGAAGAAUCUGUUGAAUUUGAAAGAAAAAAGAAAACAAAUUGAAAAAGAAAUUCAAAAGACCCGUAAAACAAUCAACAACCAUCUGGACAAAUUACAAGGAGAUUUGAUAAAACAACUUAAUUCUAUUGAAGAAACCCAGAACUCGAAAAUUUGUCAGUUGUUGUCAUCACUUGAACAGAGAGAAAAAGAAAUAACCAAAUACCAGCAAAACCUUGCAAGCAUUAAACAACACGCCUCAGACCUUCAGAUUUUUCUUUCACUUAAGCAAAUCGAACAAGACAUUAAUAUAAAUGAUAAAUUCCUACAAUCCGUAGUGGAAGGUGAGGAAUUGAAGCAAUGUCAUCUAGAAUAUAGAACCAACAUUGCUAUUCAAGAUAUCAUGUCCAAUAUCAAAAGUUUUGGAGAAGUACAGAUUGAAACUAAACCAUGUGACAUCGUUCUUAGCAGGAAGAAGACUAAACAAGCACAGAUAAUGGUACCAAACGUUCAAACAAGAUCCAUUGAGAAUAUAAAGCUGGAGAUGCACAAAACAGCAGUAGCAACUGAAGGAAGAUACGUCUACGGGUGUUGCCUGAUACCAGAUGGUAGAAUGGCUUUUACUUACUACUAUGAUUGUGCGUGUUAGAGUUUUCAGUGAUAAAGGAUCAAAAGACUUUGAGGUGAAGAUGCCGUGUAAGUAUACGAUAUACUGUAUAUUAGUAAGGACGAUACAUUAGCCGUAACAUCUGGUGGUUCAAGUCAGCAUUGUAUUUUUAUUAUAAACGUGGAAAGAAAACAAAUCACGAGAACAAUUUCACUAGAUUCGGAAAUUUAUGGCAAAGCACUUAGAGAAAAUAUUUUAAUAUAUUCCGGUUAUAACAAAGGAAUCCGAAUGAUCAAUCUUGACGACGAGUCAAUUACUUAAAUAGUUCAAGAUAAAAUGCCAAGAUGCUGUUACAAUGCAAGAUUUCGGAACCAAAUCUAUCACACAAACUCAUACACACAAGCCGUUACUUGUUACGACCAACAAGGUAAACCACAAUGGACAUUCAAAAAUAUAAGCCUUCUGAAGUAUCCUCGUAUUGAUGUAGAUAUUGAUGGUAAUGUGUAUGUGGUAGGGAUGGAUUCGAACAAUGUUGUAGUUAUCUCCCCUGACGGACAACGC